CCCUACCUGUUCCGCCUUCUGCGAGCGGGCGGCUCACAGGUGAACGGUGCUUGCACCUUUCAAGUGAGUGGCGAACGGGUGAGUAACACGUGGACAACCUGCCUCAAGGCUGGGGAUAACAUUUGGAAACAGAUGCUAAUACCGAAUAAAACUUAGUGUCGCAUGACACAAAGUUAAAAGGCGCUUCGGCGUCACCUAGAGAUGGAUCCGCGGUGCAUUAGUUAGUUGGUGGGGUAAAGGCCUACCAAGACAAUGAUGCAUAGCCGAGUUGAGAGACUGAUCGGCCACAUUGGGACUGAGACACGGCCCAAACUCCUACGGGAGGCUGCAGUAGGGAAUCUUCCACAAUGGGCGAAAGCCUGAUGGAGCAACGCCGCGUGUGUGAUGAAGGCUUUCGGGUCGUAAAGCACUGUUGUAUGGGAAGAACAGCUAGAAUAGGAAAUGAUUUUAGUUUGACGGUACCAUACCAGAAAGGGACGGCUAAAUACGUGCCAGCAGCCGCGGUAAUACGUAUGUCCCGAGCGUUAUCCGGAUUUAUUGGGCGUAAAGCGAGCGCAGACGGUUUAUUAAGUCUGAUGUGAAAGCCCGGAGCUCAACUCCGGAAUGGCAUUGGAAACUGGUUAACUUGAGUGCAGUAGAGGUAAGUGGAACUCCAUGUGUAGCGGUGGAAUGCGUAGAUAUAUGGAAGAACACCAGUGGCGAAGGCGGCUUACUGGACUGCAACUGACGUUGAGGCUCGAAAGUGUGGGUAGCAAACAGGAUUAGAUACCCUGGUAGUCCACACCGUAAACGAUGAACACUAGGUGUUAGGAGGUUUCCGCCUCUUAGUGCCGAAGCUAACGCAUUAAGUGUUCCGCCUGGGGAGUACGACCGCAAGGUUGAAACUCAAAGGAAUUGACGGGGACCCGCACAAGCGGUGGAGCAUGUGGUUUAAUUCGAAGCAACGCGAAGAACCUUACCAGGUCUUGACAUCCUUUGAAGCUUUUAGAGAUAGAAGUGUUCUCUUCGGAGACAAAGUGACAGGUGGUGCAUGGUCGUCGUCAGCUCGUGUCGUGAGAUGUUGGGUUAAGUCCCGCAACGAGCGCAACCCUUAUUGUUAGUUGCCAGCAUUCAGAUGGGCCUCUAGCGAGACUGCCGGUGACAAACCGGAGGAAGGGGGGGACAAAUCGAUAAUCAUGCCCCUUUUAACUGGGGGAACACCGGGUUAAAAGGGGGUAAACAAAAAUUGCCACCCGCCGGGGGUG
rnacentral:rRNA from 1 species